AAUGAACGUUGGCGGCAUGGAUUAGGCAUGCAAGUCGAGCGAGAAGGAUUUCAAAGUUUACUUUGGAAUCUGGAAAGCGGCGCAAGGGAGAGUAACGCGUAGUUAUCUACCCCAAGGCCCGGAAUAGCUGCGGGAAACUGCAGGUAAUGCCGGAUAAUAUCCCCGGAUCAAAGGUGUGAUUCCGCCUUGGGAGGGGACUGCGUUGUACUAGCUUGUUGGUAGGGUAAUGGCCUACCAAGGCUACGAUGCAUAGCGGGCGUGAGAGCGUGGCCCGUCUCACUGGGACUGAAACACUGCCCAGACACCUACGGGUGGCUGCAGUCGAGAAUCUUCGGCAAUGGGCGAAAGCCUGACCGAGCAAUGCCGCGUGCGGGAUGAAGGCCCUCGGGUUGUAAACCGCUGUCGUAGGGGAGAAAGGUCUCAUGAAGAAUGAGAUUUGAUCUAUCCUAGGAGGAAGUCCGGGCUAAGUUCGUGC
rnacentral:rRNA from 1 species